CAGCACGUCAAGCUGGUGUCCAGGUUCGACUCCGUGUCUUCACGCUCCUGUGCGGCGAGCAACGCGGACAGGAGGACGCAUCAGUUUUAGAAGCACCUUGCUGUCACGGUGUCACGCAUUUGCAUUCAAAUAACUUCCCCCUCCCGCAACAAAGGCGCCCGGGGGAGAUGGAUUAACACUCAUUAACUAGCGCACCCAAAAUGAAUAGAAGAGUGAGGAAGAGGAGAAGGUCGGAGCUGCAGGGAAACGCAGAGCCACAAAGUUGCGCCGCGGCGGAGUUCACCUCUUUAACGGUCAGGAUGCGCUCCGUCACUCCGCCCCCUCCUCAGCGGAUCACUGUCUCCUGACAUCAGCGGCCUCCAACUCUUCAGGCCCCCGCGAACCUGCGAGGGAGGGUGGCGCCCGUCCCUCAUUUAAAGGCACACAUAUGUGAAUGUACAUGAUUUCUAAAUGGAGUCAGCUGAGGAAGUCCGCGGCUCCGUUCGCAGCACUAAUCUGUCUUUUCUUUUCUCUGUUCAGAAAGCUGCUAAUCCUCCUUUAGUGUUGUACCAAAAUUCCAGGAUCUGUCUAAGAGCAGAGGACUCCUCAGGAUCCCAAUCAAGCUCCUUCCUGCAGCCUUUUAUUCCAGGGAAGCAAUUUUCCAGACAGAUCUCGGCUCAGAGAGGAGAGCAGAGAAAAAAAGAGAGCAAACGCGCGGUUGGGUUUCUCUCCAUCUCUCCAUCCUGCAGAAAAAAGAAAGAAAGAAAGAAAGAAAGAAAGAAAGAAAGAAAGAAAGAAAGAAAGAAAGAAAGAAAGAAAGAAAGAAAGAAUUUCCCAUUAAAUUCAUCGGAGGAUGUGCUCAGCGGCCUCACCUCGACAGGGUCAAACAGCAAUAAAUUACUGUUAUCAGGAGCAGGUCGCCGCCAUAUUGGCACUGGAUCAUCUCUCUUGCUCAGCAAGAAAGUUUAAGGCUGCAAGCCAAGAUGGAAACCUGGUGUGUCGAGGUGAUGCGGCGUGUGACCGGCACCAAGGUGACUGUUUGAUGGGAUUCCUGCGUGAGUCUUUUUGUCAGCCUGAGUUUUUGUCCUGAGGCUCCUCUGAGUUUUUCCCAGCCUGUCAUGUCUUCACCUGGCCUCCUGAACAUCCCCCACCACCACCACCACCACCACCACCACCACCACUGCCAGCUGUCAUGUGACCCGUCACUCUGCCCUGCCUACGGCUACACGAAUAAACUCUGAGAUGACGUUUGACUGGACAAAAUCUGGUUUAAAUAAAACAUCUGCAGGAAAAAUUGGAGGGUUAUAAUGGGAGAGCAAAAGUGUUUGCCCUCCAACACGCAGCAAUGACAAACUUAAUACAGCCAAUUAGCUUUAAAGAUCAAGCUAAUGUAGCCCUGGGUAAAACCAGGCAUGUUUAAAAAAAAGACAUCACUUAAAAUAAAGAAAGAAAUAAAUAGCAGUUAGGGCUAAAAAGAAACAGUUUAUGAUAAAUAAAUUAGUAAUUAAAAGGCCACUUCAGAUUAAAAGUAUGACGGAGUGAUUUAGUGGUAGGGGGUGAGUUCAGUGUAGUAUAUGUGUUUUCCAAGAUGCAUAUUACAUGUUUGAUGCGUUGUCUGUGAAUGUAUAUGUUAUAAUGUCCCGGGGAAACAGAAGAAAUAGACAAGUGGAACAAAAUGUAUUUUAUUUUGAAAAGCUGAUGUGCAGGUGUGGGGGAGGUGAGCGGAACAGAAAAGAAAGAAAAGAGGGGAGUCAGGAAGGAGGGAGAGAGGAGCGCGAAAAAAUGGAAAAGUUGAUCAAGUGUCAUAGAAGUUCAUCAUUAUAGUCAUUCUAGUGUUCGACCAGAACUCUUUUUGAAGACUGAGUGGUGACUUUCAAGCAAGUGUUGAGUGGAGAACUCAAUACGACAAACAGACGAAGAGGAGAGUGCAUGUAGCUGCUGACUAAGUGGCUGCUAACCCUGAACUUGGCUAACGAGCUAGCGGCUAGCAAUCUGGUGGAGCCGAGCAGAGGUGGAUCGUCGUCCGCGGUGGAGUGACCUGAGGUGGAGCUGAGUCCGGCGUUUCUUACCUUACUUUGGAUCCUCCCUUCCCCUGCUUCAGCAGUUAUUCUUCUCACCUGAGGUAACACCUGAGGCACAGCUACACUUUUGUUUUGGCCUGUAAGGUGAAGCAGCCAGUCGUUUGAGCCUACCACGUACCCGAGCUGCAACCAGGCCUGCUACGGUAACUUAAGUAUUGCCGGCUAUUUUGUUUUAUUGGGGGCCCCACAGUAACGGUUCAUUGUGCAUAUUUUGCAUAUGUGAACGAAGCCUGUUUACAAAUGUUAAUUUUCUUGAAUCUGUUUGUUGAGUAAACCUUUUUUUAUUUUAUUUUCCACUGAAACGGUAUUGGUCUUUGAAUUCCUUGGUUUAAGUUCAUUGCAGAAACCUUAUUUAUUAUUUCAUAUUUUAGAAAGAGCUCAGGUUAGCCACCUCUCAAAUAGUAAAAUACACUAGAGAGGCGCUACACUAACCUGCCAAUGA
ensembl:lncRNA